GACGAACGCUGGCGGCGUGCCUAAUACAUGCAAGUAGAACGCACAGUUUAUACCGUAGCUUGCUACACCAUAAACUGUGAGGUGCGAACGGGUGAGUAACGCGUAGGUAACCUGCCUGGUAGCGGGGGAUAACUAUUGGAAACGUUAGAUAAUACCGCAUCAUAUUGAUUAUUGCAUGGUAAUUGAUUGAAAGCUGCUAUUGAAUCACUACUAGAUGGACCUGCGUUGUACUAGGUAGUAGGGGAGGUAACGGCCCACCUAGGGGACGGUACAGAGCCGGCCUGGAGGGGUGGUCGGCCCCCCUGGGACCGGGACCCGGCCCCGGCCCCCUCGGGGAGCAGCCGUAGGGGAUCUUCGGCAAUGGACGGAAGUCUUACCGCGCAACGCCGCGUGAGUGAAGGAGGUUCUCGGGUCGUAAAGCUCUGUUGUUAGGGAAGAACGGGUGCGAGAGUGGAAAGUUCACACUGUGACGGUAUCUUACCAGAAAGCGACGGCUAACUACGUG
rnacentral:rRNA from 1 species